UACGAAGGGGGCUAGCGUUGCUCGGAAUCACUGGGCGUAAAGCGCACGUAGGCGGACUCUUAAGUCGGUGGUGAAAUCCUGGAGCUCAACUCCAGAACUGCCUUCGAUACUGAGAGUCUCGAGUCCGAGAGAGGUGAGUGGAACUGCGAGUGUAGAGGUGAAAUUCGUAGAUAUUCGCAAGAACACCAGUGGCGAAGGCGGCUCACUGGCUCGGUACUGACGCUGAGGUGCGAAAGCGUGGGAGCAACAGG
rnacentral:rRNA from 1 species